rnacentral:rRNA from 1 species
AGUGAACGCUGGCGGUAGGCCUAACACAUGCAAGUCGAACGGCAGCACAGUAAGAGCUUGCUCUUACGGGUGGCGAGUGGCGGACUGGUGAGGAAUACAUCUGAAUCUACUUUUUCGUGGGGGAUAACGUAGGGAAACUUACGCUAAUACCGCAUACGACCUACGGGUGAAAGCAGGGGAUCUUCGGACCUUGCGCGAUUGAAUGAGCCGAUGUCGGAUUAGCUAGUUGGCGGGGUAAAGGCCCACCAAGGCGACGAUCCGUAGCUGGUCUGAGAGGAUGAUCAGCCACACUGGAACUGAGACACGGUCCAGACUACUACGGGAGGCAGCAGUGGGGAAUAUUGGACAAUGGGCGCAAGCCUGAUCCAGCAAGACCGCGUGGGUGAAGAAGGCCUUCGGGUUGUAAAGCCCUUUUGUUGGGAAAGAAAAGCAGCAGGUUAAUACCCCGCUGUUCUGACGGUACCCAAAGAAUAAGCACCGGCUAACUUCGUG